rnacentral:rRNA from 1 species
GAUGAACGCUGGCGGCGUGCCUAAUACAUGCAAGUCGAGCGAACAGAUGAUGAGCUUGCUCCUCUGACGUUAGCGGCGGACGGGUGAGUAACACGUGGAUAACCUACCUAUAAGACUGGGAUAACUUCGGGAAACCGGAGCUAAUACCGGAUAAUAUAUUGAACCGCAUGGUUCAAUAGUGAAAGACGGUUUUGCUGUCACUUAUAGAUGGAUCCGCGCCGCAUUAGCUAGUUGGUAAGGUAACGGCUUACCAAGGCAACGAUGCGUAGCCGACCUGAGAGGGUGAUCGGCCACACUGGAACUGAGACACGGUCCAGACUCCUACGGGAGGCAGCAGUAGGGAAUAUUCCGCAAUGGGCGAAAGCUUGACGGAGCAACGCCGCGUGAGUGAUGAAGGUCUUCGGAUCGUAAAACUCUGUUAUUAGGGAAGAACAACUGUGUAAGUAAAUAUGCACGUCUUGACGGUACCUAAUCAGAAAGCCACGGCUAACUACGUG